AACCUAGCACACCUGCGGUGUGUACCUGCGGAAGGAUCAUUACCGAGUUUACAACUCCCAAACCCCUGUGAACAUACCUAUACGUUGCCUCGGCGGAUCAGCCCGCGCCCCGUAAAACGGGACGGCCCGCCCGAGGACCCCUAAACUCUGUUUUUAGUGGAACUCCUGAGUAAAACAAACAAAUAAAUCAAAACUUUCAACAAUGGAUCU
rnacentral:misc_RNA from 1 species